rnacentral:tRNA from 1 species
AGCUCUGUGGCUUAGCUGGUUAAAGCACCUACCUUAUAAACAGGGGGACCUGAGUUUAGAUCUCAACAGUGCCU